AUCCAACUGAUGAGUCCUAAAUAGAACGAAACACGAGUACUGGAU
rfam:Schistosoma haematobium scaffold779_22, whole genome shotgun sequence.